ensembl:lncRNA
UGAAGAGAACUCUGUUUCAUCGUGGCAUAUUUUUAAGCACACUAUGUCGCACUCGCGAAGCUUGCGUUUACAAUCGGUUGCCAGGUGACGGCAAUUUUCUUUUUGGGCGUUCCAGCUAUGAAACUGGGUGUUCCCGGAACCCUUUGGAACGCCCGUGGCUCCGCCUAUGCACUGUGCUAGUCCUUUAGUCAGAUAACCGAACGAAGAUACAAACAGAUGAACCGUCAGAGAACCGUCAGAGCGACGCAGUUCUCUUGUGAAAAUACUUUCGGUCAGGUUUUUCUUUUUGACGCUUGAUUGAUUCCACACUGACCGAUCCCGUCCAAAGAUGGCGAGCUACCAUUGAGGAUCCACUGACAUGAACAUUUGAAAUUCUUUGGACCGGUUGUGAGUUAUCGACUGAGUGAGCCGGUUCUUAAGGUGCCCCCUGUGAGGACAACGCAGUGUCUGGGGGGGGUGACGGAGGCAGUGCGGCCACCUGGGGCCCGAGCGGAUCAGAGGAAAAGGGCUACUCUGCGGUUGGCCUUGAUGGGGAGAUAUUUUAACCCUUUUUAACCCCAUUUUCCUGCGACAUUCCUGCGUCUCCCCCUGCGUCACAGCCCGCUUCAGCACCAUGUCAGUGGACAGCGUGUUGCGGGUAUUGGACUGGAUGCCUGGACUCUCCUCAUGGAUAACCGGCCAGAACCCCAUCACCAUUUUAAUAUGAUGUGCAUGUAUUUACCUGUGUGUCAAUUGUGGCACCCAUUGCACUCCUGACCAUCCCUGGAAGAAGGGAUCCCCUACAACGCGUUUCUUCUCAAGAUUUCUUCCUUGCUGAUUUCAAGGGAGUUUUUUCUUGCCCGUGUGGGGGCAUGGGUAAAGGGGGUGUCGCAAAUAUUUGGCCUGUUAAGCCCUUUGAGACUGUAAUGGUGAAUAAGGGCUAUACAAAUACAAUUGAAUUGAAUUGAAUUGAACUACUCGCUGGAAAUCGCUAUGUUUGUGACUGCUGUGUCCUGAUUAUCACCGAAACUUGGAUUCACCCGGACAUACCCGAUGCUAGCGUGCAGCUAGCAGGCCGCACUCUGCUCCGUUGGGACCGGACGAAGGACUCCGCCAUGCCCCCACCCCUACCUGGCUCCCACACCACCCCGCUCACUGUACAGGAGCACGACGUCAGACGGGUGCUCCUGGCAGUGAACCCCAAGAAAGCUGCCGGCCCUGACUGAGUACCCAGCAAGGUGCUCAGAGGGUGCGCCUCCGAGCUCGCCCCCACCUUCACCAGGAUCUUCAAUCUCUCCCUGGCCCAGGCAGUCAUCCCGCCGUGCCUAAUAUCAUCCACAAUAAUCCCAGUGCCGAAGAAGUCUACCAUCACCAGUCUGAACGAUUACCGUCCGGUGGCCCUUACUCCGGUAAUCAUGAAGUGCUUCGAGAGACUGGUCCUUCAGCACAUCAAGGACUAUCUCCCCCCAGACUUCGACCCUCACCAGUUUGCAUAUCUAGCGAACAGAUCCACAGAAGACGCCAUUUCCGUAGCUCUCCACUCUUCACUGAACCACCUGGAGCAGCAGAAGAGCUACGUUCGGAUGCUCUUUGUGGACUACAGUUCAGCCUUCAACACCAUAAUCCCGGGCAGACUCAUCACUAAACUGGACACUCUCGGCCUUCCCCCUCUCACAUGUGCCUGGAUAAAGGACUUUUUAACAAACCGACCCCUGACUGUGAGACUUGGCCCCCACCUCUCCUCCACCCACACCCUGAGCAUCGGCUCCCCACAGGGCUGUGUGCUGAGCCCCCUCCUGUACUGCCUCUACACCCACGACUGCAGUCCGGCACACAACGACAAUCUCAUCGUCAAAUUCGCAGACAACACUACAGUGGUCGGACUCAUCUCUAAGGGUGAUGAGGCAGCCUACAGAGAGGAGGUCCUGAAUUUGACAGCCUGG